rnacentral:rRNA from 1 species
UACGUAGGGUGCAAGCGUUGUCCGGAAUUAUUGGGCGUAAAGAGCUCGUAGGCGGUCCGUCACGUCGGCUGUGAAAACCCGGGGCUCAACUCCGGGCCUGCAGUCGAUACGGGCGGACUAGAGUACUGCAGGGGAGACUGGAAUUCCUGGUGUAGCGGUGAAAUGCGCAGAUAUCAGGAGGAACACCGGUGGCGAAGGCGGGUCUCUGGGCAGUAACUGACGCUGAGGAGCGAAAGCGUGGGGAGCGAACAGG